UCACUGUCGGGGGUGGCAGUCGACGUCCGACUUUCGCAAGGCAUCAGACCAGUCGACGGUAUCUCCUGGUCAUCACCUGACGUCCCAACAGCCGAAUAUCGACAUAUAGUCGGUCAGCCCAUCCAAACGCCGUACGACCGCUAUGGGCAGUUGUCCUGUCAAGGAUAUGCGGCACGGCCGUCUUGGGGCAUUGUCCUGCCAAGGACAUAGAUUGAUCCCAGUGACUUGACAGUCCACGGUGAUUUAACAGCCUCCGGCGAUUUGACAGCCUCCGACGAUUUGACAACUCUCCAGUUGUCUGCACCAUUAAUGGCGGG
rnacentral:lncRNA from 1 species